CAGGAGACAGCCAAAAAGACCAGCACAAUAUUUUAAAUAGGAGAGAAGUUUGCCCAUCUGUCGGCUUGAAUAUAUCCUGUUUCAUACUAGGGACACCCCUUUUUUCAAAUAAAGGGAAAGAAAAUAUACAACAAAGUUUUAAGAAAUGCUAUUUUCACGACAAGAACUCUGACAACUUUCAAAAUGAUGUCAAAUAAUCUUUCAAAUCAUUUCUUUUAUUAUAUUUUUUCAUUUCUUUUCCACUUCUAUUUCCUUUGAAUCGCGAAUUUUAUUUAAUCUGGAG
rnacentral:lncRNA from 1 species